rnacentral:rRNA from 1 species
GACGAACGCUGGCGGCGUGCUUAACACAUGCAAGUCGAACGGAAAGGCCCUGCUUUUGUGGGGUGCUCGAGUGGCGAACGGGUGAGUAACACGUGAGUAACCUGCCCUUGACUUUGGGAUAACUUCAGGAAACUGGGGCUAAUACCGGAUAGGAGCUCCUGCUGCAUGGUGGGGGUUGGAAAGUUUCGGCGGUUGGGGAUGGACUCGCGGCUUAUCAGCUUGUUGGUGGGGUAGUGGCUUACCAAGGCUUUGACGGGUAGCCGGCCUGAGAGGGUGACCGGCCAAAUGGGGACUGAGACAGGGCCCAGGCUCCUACGGGGGGGAGGGGGGGGGAAUUGUGCAAAAGGGGGGGAAGCCGGAGGCAGAAACGCCGGGUGGGGGAGGACGGCCUUGGGGUUGUAACCCGCCUUCGCCUGGGACGAAGGGUGAGUGACGGUAAUGGGUAAAGAAGCACCGGCAAAAUACGG